GGCAUUAAAAAAUCUCCGUGUUGUUAUGAGCAUGCGUGGGGGUCGGGCACCUCUUUACCUUCGGCGCGGUCGGAGUGGCUGCGAGCUUGCCACUGAAGACCCUGGUGUCGCCAUGGGCCGCCGCCCUGCCCGGCGUUACCGGUAUUGUAAGAACAAGCCAUACCCCAAGUCUCCUUUCUGCCGAGGUGUUCCUGAUGCUAAGAUUCGCAUCUUUGACCUGGGGCGGAAGAAGGCAAAAGUGGAUGAGUUCCCGCUGUGGCCACGUGGUGUCAGAUGCGUACGAGUAGCUCCUCUGAAGCCCUGGAAGCUGCUUGUGUUUGUGCCGACAAGUACAUAGUGAAAAGUUGUGAAAAGAUGGCUUUCAUAUCUGAGUGCAGCUUCACCCCUUCUGCGUUAUCCGCAUCAGUAAGAUGUUGUCCUGUGCUGGAGCUGACAGGCUCCAGACAGGUAUGCGUGGUGCCUUUGGAAAGCCCCAGGGCACUGUGCCCAGGGUUCACAUUGGCCAAGUCAUCAUGUCCAUCUGCACCAAACUACAGAACAAGGAGCCUUUGCAGGGCCAAGUUCAAGUUCCCUGGUCGUCAGAAGAUUCACAUCUCCAAGAAAUGGGGUUUUACCAAGUUUAACUCAUGAAUUUGAAGACAUGGUGGCUGAGAAGCGGCUCAUCCCAGAUGGCUGUGGGGUCAAAUACAUCCCCAGUCGUGGCCCCCUGGGCAAGUGGCCGGCCCUGCGCUUGUGAGGACUUAACACUGUUGCCUAUCAAUUGUGCCUACCAAUAAUAAAUCCUACUUUCUGUCA